CACGUGCUACAAUGGCAUAUACGAUGAGAAGCAAUACCGCGAGGUGGAGCAAAUCUAUAAAAUAUGUCUUAGUUCGGAUUGUUCUCUGCAACUCGAGAGCAUGAAGCCA
rnacentral:rRNA from 1 species